GGCGAGAUAGCUCAGUUGGUUAGAGCGCGCGAUUCAUAAUCGCGAGGUCGGGGGAUCAUGCCCCCCUCUCGCUACAA
rnacentral:tRNA from 1 species